AGAUAUUUGCAGGAUGCUUUUAAGGUGCCACUGGUAAUACAGCUCACUGAUGAUGAGAAGUUCCUGUGGAAGAAUUUGACUGUUAACGAAAGCAAAAGGCUUGCACGUGAAAAUGCAAAAGACAUCAUAGCAUGUGGUUUUGAUGUUGAAAAGACUUUCGUUUUCUCUGAUUUUAAUUUUGUUGGAGGUGCCUUUUAUGAAAACAUGGUUAAAGUUGCUAGAUGUGUGACAUAUAAUAAGGUUGUAGGAAUAUUUGGAUUCAGUCAAGAGGAUCACAUAGGAAAGAUUAGCUUUCCUCCUGUGCAAGCAGUUCCGUCAUUCCCUUCUUCAUUUCCCCAUCUCUUCUCUGGCAUGGAACAACUACGUUGCCUGAUCCCAUGUGCAGUAGACCAGGAUCCUUAUUUCAGGAUGACCCGUGACGUUGCCCCUAGAAUUGGUUGUCAAAAGCCAUCACUGACUGAAUCCAGAUUUUUCCCUGCUCUUCAGGGGGAGAGCACGAAAAUGUCAGCUAGUGAUCCAAAUUCUGCGAUAUAUGUGAGAGAUAAUGAAGAAGAAAUAUUGAAGAAGGUGAACAAAUAUGCUUUCUCAGGUGGCCAAGACUCAGCGGAACUCCAAAGAGAGCUUGGAGCUAACCUUGAGGUGGAUGUCCCGAUUAAGUACCUGAACUUCUUCCUUGAAGACGACGAUGAUCUUGAGCAGAUAAAGAAGGGUUACGGGGAUGGAAGCCUGCUAACUGGUAAAGUGAAGAAUCUUCUUGGUGACGUUCUAUCUGAGCUGGUUAAAAGACAUGAGAGAGCUAGAGCUCAAGUGACCGAGGAGAUGGUUGACGCCUUCAUGGCUGCGAGACCUCUUCCCAAUAUGUUUGGCUGA
rnacentral:rRNA from 1 species